GGUAAGAGUAGAAGCGUUCAGUCCAGCCAAUCCGCAUUGCGUGGACCGGCUGGCGGGUCAUUGCUCUUGAA
rfam:Acidovorax sp. CF316 PMI14_contig_826.826, whole genome shotgun sequence.